GUGCUCUUGGUUUUAUGGAACCACUAAACACAUUUCGAACUUGCUAGUGAAACAUAAAAUGAAAAAUUAAUACUUGAAGGGUAGCUUUCUGGAAAAUAUUUUUUAGUGC
rnacentral:rRNA from 1 species